rnacentral:rRNA from 1 species
UACGUAGGGGGGCAAGCGUUGUCCGGACUUACUGGGCGUAAAGCGUGUGCAGGCGGGCCGCUAUGUGCCGUGUGAAAGCUCUCAGCUUAUCUGGGAGAGGUCGCGGUAGACAGGCAGCCUGGAGGCUCGGAGAGGUCAGUGGAAUUCUCGGUGUAGUGGUGAAAUGCGUAGAUAUUCGCAAGAACACCAGUGGCGAAGGCGGCUCACUGGCCCAUUACUGACGCUGAGGCACGAAAGCGUGGGGAGCAAACAGG